CCUACGGGAGGCAGCAGUGGGGAAUAUUGCACAAUGGGGGAAACCCUGAUGCAGCGACGCCGCGUGAGUGAAGAAGUAUUUCGGUAUGUAAAGCUCUAUCAGCAGGGAAGAAAGUGACGGUACCUGAGUAAGAAGCCCCGGCUAACUACGUGCCAGCAGCCGCGGUAAU
rnacentral:rRNA from 1 species